rnacentral:rRNA from 1 species
GGCGAGGCCGAAAGGCGUAGUCGAAGGCAAACGGGUUAAUAUUCCCGUACUGGUUUGUGUGCGUUAUUAACGAUGAGGGGACGCAGAAUGCUAGGUCGGCCGGGUGAUGGACGUCCCGGUUUAAAGGUGUAGGCAGGUGCCGUAGGCAAAUCCGCGGUGCUAUAUGCUGAGACCUGAUGACGAGGGGCCUUUGUGCCCCAUAAAGCGAUUGAUGCUUUGCUGCCAAGAAAAGCCUCUAAGUGAGUGCACAGGCCAACCGUACCGUAAACCGACACAGGUGGGUGAGGAGAGAAUCCUCAGGCGCGUGAGAGAA